CGGGUAAACAGUAACAGGUUAAUGAACUUUUCAAUUUUCCAAUCCUACCAUCUCCUUUCUCACGCUAUCUUCCCCAUUUUUCCCAGAACCCGCUCGAAGACUUCCAAAUUCCGAGACUUCUCUCUCACUCUCACUUCUCUUCUCUGUUUCAAAAAAAUCCUUCAGAUCCUAAAACUUGACGGAAAGAUUGGAGCUUUCAGCUUGCUACACCAUAUCUGAAAGAAGCCAUCCUUCCUCCCAGCUAUCUCUCUCGUUCUCCAGGUCGCGUUCUGCGGCUCGGAGUCCUUCCUCUGAUAAACAAAGAAUAUGAAAGAUUGCGAAUAAGGGCCUUAGUCCUGAGAUGGAGGACAAGUUAGAUAUGAUGUUCUCGAACACAGUUGCUACUGGUGAGCAUGCCUAAGCACCUUCAUAUGGAGAACUACCACCAGAGACAAGAGGAAUCUAUAAGACAAAUUGAUUCAGAUAAUGAGGAAGAAAAUGAGACUAUUCAGGAUCUAAGGCAAGCUACUAGGAAGGGAAAAAAAGAGCGGCUAACUAAGGAGAAUUGCAAAAGAAGGUUGAUAAGAAAGGGAAAAAAAUUGGAGGUGCUGCAAAAUUUUGUGGUAAAAUUGGCCAUCCUGUUGAAGCUUAUGGAAGUAGAAGUUCUGCAAACUCAUUGAUGAAGCAGCUGCAUAUUGGCAGUAGUAUUCCGGAAGUGAUAAUGGUUGUUGCACAAUUGCCUAGUUGUGAGCCACCUAGCGAGUUAUGGUUGUUUGCUAUAUGUUUAUUUUGUAGUGCAGAUAAGCGAGAGAUGUUUGCCAUGAUAAAAGAUCCUGAAGUUCGGCUGACUUGGUUGAAAUUUAUGUUCAACAAACAACAAUAAAGAGCUAAAACUAUGAAUUAGAACAAUGUGUGGUUUGUACUUUGCAUUAAGAUUAUGUGUUGAAUGUUGCUUGUAUUUUGUGUUUAUUGAAUGUUGGAUUAUAUGUUGAAUGUUGAAUUAUGAUUUCUU